rnacentral:rRNA from 1 species
GACAGAGGUGCCGAGCGUUAGGCGGAAUCACUGGGCUUAAAGCGUGUGUAGGCGGAUUCCUAAGUACCUUGUGAAAUCCCACGGCUUAACCGUGGAACUGCUUGGUAUACUGGGUGUCUUGAGCCAACUAGAGGCAGUCGGAACAAACGGUGGAGCGGUGAAAUGCGUAGAUAUCGUUUGGAACGCCAAUGGUGAAAACAGACUGCUGGGGUUGUGCUGACGCUGAGGCACGAAAGCCAGGGGAGCAAACGGG